rnacentral:lncRNA from 1 species
GAAGUGCUGAAAGAAAAGGGAAGCUCAGUGUAGCCCUUUCUGCUUUCGGGGAUCUCAGCCCCUCUCAGGCUAGUGGGCUUCUUCUUCGCCCAGGCGGGAGGUCUGGCGGCACCCUGUGUGCGCCAUCCUCACCUGCAGGCAGCCUUGUGCUUUGCAGUGGGCUGCUGCAAAGGAAAGCUCUGCCUCAGAACACCCCCACCCCCACCCUGCUUAGUUAACCACGCCUUUAGCAGCGCAGAGAACAUGUGAUCGCAAGCCAGUUACGGCCAGAAUUCUCAACACUUUAUUGUAUGCAGAUAUUUCCAUGGAAAACCUGAAAAAGAAAUUACAAACACAUUUUUCUUCUUUAAAUUUUUAAUUGACACAUGAUACCUGCCCAUACUUUAGGGGUACAGUGAUAAUUCCGUGCAUACAUAGUACCAUGCAUCAGGCCAGGACAGUUAUUGUUUCUGGCUCUGGGAACUCGCGUCAUUUCUGAGCCCCUUCUGGAUGGUGAGCUCUUAGGACCAGGGGCUGCUGCCUCCACCUGCAUGCAGUGCUCCCGAUGGCUGGCUGCUUCCCAGGCAGUGUUGAGUGUCGCCGUCACAGGGGAGAUGGACAUUUUCCUGGAGGGACCAGGGCAAGACUGGUGGUUAUGCACUCGUGAGAAAUGAAGCUCAGAAAUUUAUCUGGAACCAGAAGGUUGGCUGGUGGUCAGGAAUUCCAUUAUGCUGCAUUGACAGAAAAUAAACACCCUUAGCACUAGCUGGGGGUCUUCAGAGCUCAAGAUUGAAGCUUUUGAUGUUCUACUGUAAAAUACACAUACAGUUUACCAUUUUCACCAUUUUUAACUGUGUGCUUUAGUGGCAUUAAGUACAUUCGUACUGUGUGAACCUUAGCACUAUCUCCAAAACUCGUCUCUCAGAAGUGGUUUCAUUAUGAUUAGAAGAUGAUGUACGGAAGAAAGGUAGUGAAGAUAUUACCUUUGGAGGCACCCCAUGUGUGUCUAAAUUACCUGUAUUGAACACAAC